UACGUAGGGUGCAAGCGUUUGUCCGGAAUUAUUGGGCGUAAAGAGCUCGUAGGCGGUUUGUCGCGUCUGCUGUGAAAACCCGAGGCUCAACCUCGGGCCUGCAGUGGGUACGGGCAGACUAGAGUGCGGUAGGGGAGAUUGGAAUUCCUGGUGUAGCGGUGGAAUGCGCAGAUAUCGGGAGGAACACCGGUGGCGAAGGCGGGUCUCUGGGCCGAUACUGACGCUGGAGGAGCGAAAGCGUGGGGAGCGAACAGG
rnacentral:rRNA from 1 species